rnacentral:misc_RNA from 1 species
AACACCAACAGUAACCUCAGUAAUACCAUCACUACUGGGGAAAGGGAUGUGAAUAUCGAGAGCACAUAGAAUUCGAUCUUCUUGAGACUUGCGGCGACCUUGAUGCAAGGCAGUUUGGCACCUAGCAUUCGGCAAUUUCGACCAUUGCUCAGAACCAUAUUCUGGUAGCUUCCAGCGAGGGCAUUUAGGAGAUUUAAACACGGCAGGUGCACCACCUUCUUUAUAUACCGUCAAACAUUUCGAUGAUUCUCCGUAAGUACAUCUACUCACGCAAAGAACAAACCCUAACACAAACCCUAGAAAUUCGCAUAAAUUCAUCCUCUUCUCCAGUAUGUCAUCAUUCUCUGAUCAUUGGGAAUUGAA